GACGAACGCUGGCGGCGUGCUUAACACAUGCAAGUCGAACGGAAAGGCCCUGCUUUUGUGGGGUGCUCGAGUGGCGAACGGGUGAGUAACACGUGAGUAACCUGCCCUUGACUUUGGGAUAACUUCAGGAAACUGGGGCUAAUACCGGAUAGGAGCUCCUGCUGCAUGGUGGGGGUUGGAAAGUUUCGGCGGUUGGGGAUGGACUCGCGGCUUAUCAGCUUGUUGGUGGGGUAGUGGCUUACCAAGGCUUUGACGGGUAGCCGGCCUGAGAGGGUGACCGGCAACAUGGGGAGUGAGUUCGGCCCGAGCCCCCGCGGGGGGGAGGGAGGGGGGAUUUGGGCAGAGGGGGGGGAACCUGGAGGCAGCACCGCGGGGUGGGGGGUGAGGGCCUGGGGUUUGAAACCGGCUUCCGCCGGUGAGGAGGGGGGGGGGAGGGUAGGGGGUAAAGAAGCCCGGGCAAACCAGGUG
rnacentral:rRNA from 1 species